AGCUGAUCACUGGGUGUAAAGUGUGCGCAGGCGGUUUUGUAAGACAGAGGUGAAAUCCCCGGGCUCAACCUGGGAACUGCCUUUGUGACUGCAAGGCUGGAGUGCGGCAGAGGGGGAUGGAAUUCCGCGUGUAGCAGUGAAAUGCGUAGAUAUGCGGAGGAACACCGAUGGCGAAGGCAAUCCCCUGGGCCUGCACUGACGCUCAUGCACGAAAGCGUGGGGAGCAAACA
rnacentral:rRNA from 1 species